rnacentral:rRNA from 1 species
GACGAACGCUGGCGGCGUGCUUAACACAUGCAAGUCGAACGGAAAGGCCCUGCUUUUGUGGUGUGCUCGAGUGGCGAACGGGUGAGUAACACGUGAGUAACCUGCCCUUGACUUUGUGAUAACUUCAGGAAACUGGGGCUAGUACCGGUUAGGAACUCCUGCUUCAUGGUGGGGGUUGGAAAGUUUCGGCGGUUGUGGAUGGACUCGCGGCUUAUCAGCUUGUUGGUGGGGUAGUGGCUUACCAAGGCUUUGACGGGUAGCCGGCCUGAGAGGGUGACCGGCAACAUUGGGACUGAGAUACGGGCCAGACUACUAAGGGAGGCAGGAGUGGGGAAUAUUGCACAAUGGGCGGAAGCCUGAUGCAGCAACGCCGCGUGCGGGAUGACGGACUUCGGGUUGUAAACCGCUUUCGCCUGUGACGAAGCGUGAGUGACGGUAAUGUGUAAAGAAGCACCGGCUAACUCCGUG